rnacentral:misc_RNA from 1 species
UUUCCGUAGGUGAACCUGCGGAAGGAUCAUUGUCUACACCGCGCUUGUCCGCGGUCGGGGGGCCGACCCUUCGGGGCCGACCCUGUCUGAACCCUCUGUCAUUGUCGCACCUCGCGUUUCCUCGGCGGGCUUGCCCGCCAACGGGGACCCCAAACCAAACCCAUUUGCAGUGUGCAGUAAACGUCACAAAAACAAUUAAUCAAAACUUUCAACAAUGGAUCUCUUGGUUCUGGCAUCGAUGAAGAACGCAGC